CUGAGGCCCCGGGCGAGGCCCGGCCGCGGAGCCCCCGGCACGGCCCCUCCCGCCACUCCUCGGGCGGGCUCCGUGCUGCAGGCCAGCCCCAGGCUAGGGCCGCCGCUUCCCCACCAGCCCGGCCUUCUCCGGGGUCUCCAGCCUGGCCGGGGCCCAGCUCGGCCUUGGCCUGGUCCCAAAUUAUUUAGGGAGAAGAACAAACGCCUGGGAGGGGCGAGAGUGUCCCUGCAAGGAUAGUAGAGAGGCUGCUGCCACCAUGGAGGGGGCCCUAUACUGGAGUUCGGUGGUGUGAGCACACAACCAGCCCGGCUCUGGGAUUUUAUCCUUCCUAAUCCCAUGUAAUUGUAAUGCCUGGGAAAAGAAGGAACAACCUCUGCAGUGUUAGAUUCGGCAGAGAGGAAAGACACCCUCCCUGUGCGGCUGUUGCUGAGGAGGAUUCCCCUUCUGACAGCCUGAGGUGACAAAUCAAGGUCAAGGGAUAGAUGCUCCCCUUCAGCACAGCAUGGCCAAGAACACAGGAAAACCUUAGGGUCAGCAGCAAAGGAUGUGCUUAAAAGACCACAUGGUUUUCUCUCAAGCACAGUAAAACUCCUCACCAGGAAAGAGCUGCUCAGCCUUUUUCCAUGAGCCAGUCCAAACCCAUCACACCUAUUCACUCUCCAGGAUCAGCUUGGCAUCACAGUGAGUUCCAGUUCCAUGGCAGAGGAUAGCACGGCACCGACACUGCUCCUCCCUGGGGCACAAAGCCUCCCCAGCCCCCAGGCCAGCCUGGGACACAGCACUGGGACACAAAUCUAUCUUUGGGUCACCUCUAAAGCCCUGGGAGCGUAAGACAGGCAGGUGACAGAUGGCUGGAGGCAGGGGAUCAUGGGGACUCGGCCACCCCACAGCAGCCACCGCUCCGUCUGCCAGCCAGGGCUUAGAAACCUCUGGAAAAGCUAACACGGGGAAGAGGGAGCAACACUCAGAGAGUGACAGGGUAAGGGGCAGAGCAGGGGGAGGGAAAUGGCUGUUUGUGACUCAGAGCAGAUUACUCUGCGGGAGUGCACUCCCCAGAGAGCUGCUGGGGUGAGUGGAGCUUGGAGAGGCCUGGGAAUCCAUCUGUGUGCGGGAGGUGGCUGAAGUCACCUCCCCGCAGACCAGAGGAGGUCACUAAGCUCCGAGUGAGCAACUGUCACUCCACACCCCUGAAAUCCAUAAGCAGCCUGGAAAUCUAAAGCCUGUCAUUAGGAAUGAUAAAAACAGUAAUUAGAGCCUGGCUGUCAUGAGUUCACACCUGGAACAUCAAUAUGAGGUGUUUACCCAGCAGCAGGAGAGCACUUCCCCCGGAAUCCAUCCUCUGCGGAAGCACCAGGCACAAAGCUCCACGGACCACUCUUCACACAGGUGUAAGUAAAUCCUGCAGGGAGCCUUUAACCACCUCAACAGCAGCUCCCAGCUUUGAAGGAUCCAAAAAUGCUGCUGCUGUGGGGGCACAGGAGCUACAUCAGCUCCUGGGCCGUGGGCUGUGCCUGUCCUGAUCCCAGUCCUGGUGUUUCACUGGGACUCAGCUGGGUGCACAGUGGGCUGCACCAAGGAGUUAAACCUUCAAAACAAAGAUUUGGAGGCAAACAAGCUGUGCCAAGGAGUUAGAUCUUCAAAACAAUGCAGAUUUGAAUAUGAGAGCUGUUCCAUGAAUUUAGCCUUAAUUACAUCCUGUAGAGCUAUAACCAGCCACCACACUGUAAAGCAGGUGAAAACCCACACUUUUAUUUCUUUAUGGUAUCACAGGUGGAACAGCUUAAGUUGGAGUGUCCUUAACAACAACAGCAACAGCAAAGAAAUACAAGGAUGGCUUGAAAGUAGCUUUAUUUAGUAAUAGUGAGUCUGUACAGAGCUAGGGAGAUUCCUGCUGCAGUACAGCAGCUGUACUCCUCACUGUCUUCCCAAAUGGCUGCUUGGUUUGCCAAACCCAUUUCUCUUCAAAAUGUUAAUAGAUGACAUUAAUUAAAACAUGAGCCAAGCCUAAAGUAAAGGUUUUUUUCUAAUCAAAGUACUUCUAAAUUAUUACUCUCUUGGCCUCUGCGAUGUUGGCACCUGACUGGUCACUCAGGGUUUACCCUGUACCAGCCAUAAAUUAUCUCAUCUAUUAAAAAUAGAUUCCCAUCCCUCCAUCCUGCGAGGGGCUGAAUCAGCAGGGAGCUGCACCCACAGCUGCACAGCCCAGGAAAUUGUGUCUUUAGGGUUGGCAUGAUGGUUCCUUCCCGCACAGGACAGCUGCUGAAGGAUUGAGGUGAGUUUGGUCACCCACAGGUUGCUGACACACAUGCCAUCUCCAGAGUGAGCCAGGAAGCAGUGCCAGAGCAGGGAGUGGAGGGUCAGGAGCUCUGUCCCCGAAGUCAGUGUCCUUUCAGCUCGCUGGGACAGACAGAAAUAGGCCUGAAAGCACAUUCCCCAAGCGGCCUAAUUUCCCUGCCCUCACACAAUGUUCUCUUUCCUCCUCAGCACCAGGGUAUUUGUUUUAUUUUAGGAUUUAGGAGCUUACAACCUUUAUCGAAGGAUAAAGGUGCUCAACAAUUGACUGUAAUUUUUUUUGGUUUUGGGCUUAAGUAUUGCAAUUAAAGAGCAAAAGCCAGCCCAGGGUAACAAAGCAAGGCAGGUUAAACAUCCCCAUCACACAAGUCUCACCCAGAAAACAGCAGAACAGCCCCCAAGAAAAUAAUCCUCUCAUUCCUGCUGUCAGCUUCCCUUCUUUAAGUACUUGAAAGUUCCUCCCUGAACCAGGCUGUUGUGUUCAAAUAGAAAAAGGUCAGGGUGACACAGAAAGGGUUUAACUUCCUCCCCAGCACUGAAUCUCUGACCUGGAUGACAUUCAAGGUUGUCAAGGAAGCAGUUACAAACAACUAUAUUUAGGAAAUGAAAACACCUAUUUCCUCUCUCCUCUGCUCAGAGGCCAACACUCACCUGCAGCGUUUGCAGGGAGCUGUGACAAGAAGCUUAAUGGAAAGGAAGCAAAAAAAAAACCCAACCCCCUUCUUUUCACUGGUUUAGUAGGUCUUACAGAGGAAGAAGAUGGGUAGAGAUAAAAA